rnacentral:lncRNA from 1 species
GCCGGCCUGGCUCUCUGUCGCCGGACUGGUACACGGCGCCGCCGCCGGCGAGCGCCUCUGUCGUCAGCCCCUCUCCGUCCUCCCCCUGUCACCUCUCUCUCCCUUCCCUUUUCCCUCUCUACAUCUCUCUCUCUCCGCCUCUCGUUCGGAACAGGGCGUACGCCCUUUGUGCCGGAGACAGAGAACGGCCGCCGCCGCCUCCUUCAUCCUCCAGCGCCGCCGGGCUCGCGGUGGAGAGUCGCCACCGCCGAUGCCUCCGUCGUCGGCCAGCUCGAUUCACCAUCAUAACCCACAAACAAUAUGCAAAAUCGACAAACAAAAAUCCACAAAUCCAAAUCCACAAACAAAAAUCAAAAUCCACAAGUUCACAAGUAUCGAAACCAAAAUCGAAACAAAUAUCAAAACCAGAUCUACCCACAAACAUUGAAACCCAAGUAUUGAAGACAAAAAUUGAAAAUCUAGAAACUAGAGUGGAGGCGGAAAGGGGCUACGCCGAGGGUGAGGCGGACGCGCCGCUGCUGCGUCUCCUGGCGGUGGGGCUGAAGAUUUCGUCGACGACGGAGAGAGAAAGGUGGAGGCGACGAGAGAAGACUUAGGAUUUGGGUUCACUGGUUGAGUGGGUGCGUGAGAAACUGAGAAUAGAGGAAGAGAGGAAAUGACAGUGGUGGCCGGCAGAUCGACGGGCGGUGGUGGCGGUGGAGGCGGCAGAUCGACGGGCGGUGGUGGCCGAGAAUUUUAGAAGAGAAGGGAGGCGACUGGUAGGUGGGGGAAGGAGAGAGAGAAGAAGAAGUAGGAAAUGAGUUUUAGGUGGAUAAUUAGUGAUUAGGUGGAUAAUUAGUGAAUAUAUUAAUGCUUAAAUGCCCCCUGAUUUUUCCAAAAAAGGAAAUGUAUCAUGUAGGUUGGGACAGCCCAAAAAUGAAUANGCUAGAGUCGUGAAAUGAAAUUAUCCAAGUAAUACGUUUGUUACAAACGUAUUACUUGGAUUUUUCAUUUCACUAGAUUUUAUAUCUGGUUACUCAACAUUUCCAGCGUCGAAGCGGUGGCGCUAGCAGGUGGCGGUUUCAGGUGGUGGUUUUGGGGGAGGUGAGUGGCUUUCCUUUUUUUCAAUUAAUUCUUUAAUCUUAUUUCUAUUUUUUUGGUUAGUUUUGUUGAUAAAAAUUAUACCUAAAUGCCAAUGACAGUUUGUUAAUGAAUCUGUUUAAGAAAUACAAUUAGGAAAUAGUUUAAUUGCUCUUUCUUAAUGAUUGUUGUAAUAUGAAUCAUAUGAUGAUGUGUGUAUUAAUAAAGUAACAAGCUUAAGUAGUAUGAAUAUGUGAUGGUAGUAUGUAUAUAUCUAUAAGCGAUUUGCUUUUGCAGGAAUAGCAAGUAAAUUAUACUUAAAAUAGUUUCGUAUAUUAUAAACUAAAAUUUAUCAAGAAUGGCUAAAGAUUUUAUUUCUCCAUAUGUUGAAUGAGAUAGCUCACUAUUAAUAAAAUCUCUUUUUUUAUUCUACAAAAAAAUAGGUAUCAUAAAUAUUUCUGUAGCAAUAAAAUAAAUUUUAGUCAAUACUAGUAUUGUACUCCCUCCGUCCCAUUAUUUAUGGGACAACACUGUUGGGCACGGAGAUUAAGAAGAAUAGAAUUAAGGGAAUUAAAUGUUUAGUGUUAUUUUAAUUAACAAGUCACACACGCACAGUCACUCCUCUCUCGGCCUGUCUCUCUCUCGCCGGCCUGGCUCUCUGUCGCCGGACUGGUACACGGCGCCGCCGCCGGCGAGCGCCUCUGUCGUCAGCCCCUCUCCGUCCUCCCCCUGUCACCUCUCUCUCCCUUCCCUCUUCCCUCUCUCCAUCUCUCUCUCCGCCUCUCGUUCGGAACAGGGCGUACGCCCUUUGUGCCGGAGACAGAGAACGGCCGCCGCCGCCUCUUUCAUCCUCCAGCGCCGCCGGGCUCGCGAUGGAGAGUUGCCACCGCCGAUGUCGGCCAGCUCGAUUCACCAGCAUAACCCACAAACAAUAUGCAAAAUCGACAAACAAAAAUCCACAAAUCCAAA